rnacentral:rRNA from 1 species
UACGUAGGGUGCGAGCGUUGUCCGGAAUUAUUGGGCGUAAAGAGCUUGUAGGCGGUCUGUCGCGUCUGCUGUGAAAAUCCGGGGCUCAACCCCGGACUUGCAGUGGGUACGGGCAGACUAGAGUGUGGUAGGGGAGACUGGAAUUCCUGGUGUAGCGGUGAAAUGCGCAGAUAUCAGGAGGAACACCUGCGGCGAAGGCGGGUUGCUGGGCUGAUACUGACGCUGAUGCGCGAAAGCCAGGGGAGCGAACGGG